rnacentral:rRNA from 1 species
UACGUAGGGGGCAAGCGUUGUCCGGAUUUAUUGGGCGUAAAGAGCGUGUAGGCGGCCAUGUAGGUCCGUUGUGAAAACUCGAGGCUCAACCUCGAGACGCCGGUGGAAACCGUAAGGCUAGAGUCCGGAAGAGGAGAGUGGAAUUCCUGGUGUAGCGGUGAAAUGCGCAGAUAUCAGGAGGAACACCCGUGGCGAAAGCGGCUCUCUGGGACGGUACUGACGCUGAGACGCGAAAGCGUGGGGAGCGAACAGG